AUAUGUAGACCCAAAUAUAGAUGGGGGAUAACAAGAAUAUAUCAAGGAAUAACAAGAAUAUGCCAAGGAAUAAUAUCCUUGGACUUUUAAUUGGACAAUUUUCCAAUUAGAUUCAAUCCUUCCAAUACUCCCCUCAAGAUGAGGUGAAGAUAUCUCGAAGCCCCAUCUUGUCAAUCAAUCCAGAAAAAGACGAUGAGCUAAGCCCUUUGGUUAGAAUGUCUGCCAUCUGAUCAGA
rnacentral:lncRNA from 1 species